rnacentral:rRNA from 1 species
AGCGAACGCUGGCGGCGUGCCUAACACAUGCAAGUCGAACGUGAAAAGGGAAACCUGAGUAAAGUGGCGUACGGGUGAGUAACGCGUAGGUAAUCUACCCCAGAAUCUGGAAUAACCUGCCGAAAGGGGGGACAAUACCGAAUACAGGAUGGGAACUCCUAAUGAAUUUUUUGGGUAAGGGAGGCCCGCAGGGUCUUCCGUGACGGGCGGAUCCUCGGCUUAUUUGCUAGUUGGUUAGGUAACGGGUUUCCAAGGGGAAGAAGGGGAGCUGGGCUGAUAGGAUGGUCAGCCGCACUGGAAGGGAAACAGGGUCCAGACGCAUUCGGGAGGGAGCAGGAGGGAAUCGUGCGCAAGGGGCGGAAGACUGACGCAGCCACGCGGCGUGAGUGAAGAAGGCCGUCGGGUUGUAAAGCUCGGUCGGAUGGGAGGAACAUCCUCAUAGUGGAUAGCUAUGAGGACUGACGGUACCAGCAAAAGAAGCACCGGCUAACUCCGUG